GGGAAGGGAAGCUGAGGUAUGGAAAGUGCCUGAUGGAAAUUGGUGAAAAACAGGCAUGAGAACGGUGAGCACCCCUUUUCCUGACAUCAGUGAGCUCUGCACAGUGCCUUGUGGAAAAUGCAUAGUCCUAAAUUUCUGCCCUUGGCCAUGGACCCUAAUGGCUGACUCCAAAAGAUGACAUCCUUCUGAUCUUUACCCAUGGGAACUGUUGAGAUUUAAGAAAAUCCUUAAACUCUUUGGACUUCAAAAGAAGCUCUAAUAAUGCUCUACAGGCAGUAAUCAACUAAGGCAUUUUCCAAGAAAAAUUUAUUAACUUAAUUUCCAUGUCAGAGCUGUAGGAAACACGCCCCCCUACUUUCACCUGUUUCCUUGAGAACUUUUCACCUCUAGUCCCGCCAGCCUCCACAUCUCCAGACACUAGCCUCAGCAACCAGUUCAAAAGGUCACCGUGGAGUGAAGUGAGGAAACAACCUUCAAGGCAUGCCUGACACAACCCUGCAUAAACUACUACUUGUACUGGUUGUUUUUUUAUAUUAAGUAAACCCUCCGCCCUCCCCUGGCUUUGAUUUAUGUAGUUUGCUCUAGAAAAAAGGUUUCUUUAAAACUUCUAUCAGACAUAUAGGGCUGUAACUAUAUCUCUUAUCUUGAGGGUGAUUCUUAUUCCUCACUACUCUUACCUGUGAAUUGUCUGAUGAUACAAAAGACUUAUUGCUGUUGUUGUAUGGUUAAAGAUGUUCAUCUAAAUCAAAACCCCAUGGGUGAACUUACUGCUCUGCUGACUGAAAAGGAUCUGUGCCAUUAGAUGCCAUCUGAUAACCUGCCCGGUGAAUAAAGCUGAACUCUGAUGCUCUUCAGACCUUUAAAUCUGAAUCUGAAUCUUGCACUUGGCAACAUAAUCUAUCAGAAGCCAAAUGAAAACCCCAGACCUGCCCCCCCGCCCCACCCCCUCCCAAAUUUAAGGAUAUUUAGCUUUGAUUCAUGUCCAGAGACAUUGAGACUUAGGUUUAUUGAACUAUAGUCUGGAGGCCUGCCUUCAAAUUCAAUCAAGCCUGUCUUGUUAUACAUUUAUUUGCUGUGGUUUUUCUCUUUCCCAGUCCCAGUCUGUUUCAUUUCAGUGGAAUACCUUGUCAUAAUUGUUGACUGUGAGCUCUCGGAUAGAAUGAAAAUCUUUCUUUUAAUUACUUUUCACAAAACCUAGACCAACAAAUCUCUGACUCCAACUAGGACUUUUAUGUGCUACUCCUGUAUAAUUAAAAUAAUUAUUGGUUAAAUACUGA